GUGCUCACUUCCGCAGCACAUAUACUAAAAUUGGAAAGAUACAGAGAAGAUUAGCAUGGCCCCUGCACAAGGAUGACACACAAAUUUGUGAAGUGUUCCAUAUUAAA
rnacentral:snRNA from 1 species